AGGAGGUAAUGAUGGAAUAUGGUUCCCUACUAUUGUGGUUAUGCAUUAAGGCCAUUGUGUGGGUCAGCUGCAAGUUUUCUUUGCUGAUAGAAAUGAAUUUAGGACUUGGGUUUUAGUGAUCUCAAGUUUAAAUCUCUCUAGUAAUUUUCGUCGUUGGUAUUACUACUGUUUAUUACUAGACGUUUGGGGCUUUCUCAGAAUUGUAUUGAGCGGGGAGGAGUCUAAAGAUGCUUUUAGCAGGAGAUUUUUACUUUAUGAGAUAUCUUU
rnacentral:lncRNA from 1 species